UACGUAGGGUGCAAGCGUUGUCCGGAAUUAUUGGGCGUAAAGAGCUCGUAGGCGGUCUGUCGCGUCUGCUGUGAAAACUCAGGGCUUAACCCUGAGCUUGCAGUGGGUACGGGCAGACUAGAGUGCGGUAGGGGAGACUGGAAUUCCUGGGUGUAGCGGUGAAAUGCGCAGAUAUCGAGGAGGAACACCGGUGGCGAAGGCGGGUCUCUGGGCC
rnacentral:rRNA from 1 species